rnacentral:lncRNA from 1 species
GGCGCAGAGAGCAGAGCAUGCCGGGAGCCUGGUGUCCAGCUGCUGUGGCCUCUGCCGCUUCGUCAUCGCCAUCAGAAAGGAAUCAAGAGGAAGUGCAGGACACAGUGGAGAAGCCAGUGGCGGCUGAGAUGGAACGGAAUCCAGAAAUACACAGAUGGCAGCCGCUCACAUUUCAAGUGCAGCUUGCCCUGGCUGUGCCCUGGCCUAGGGGAAGAUUGGAUGUCGGAUGGUCUGCCACAGGCUACAGAACUACUUGACGUGGGUGCCUCAGCGUUUCACGGGACUCACUCAUGAACAGGAUGUGCGGUCCCCACAAGAGAACAGGAGGACGACGCUCCGUGGCCCCAGUGAAGGUCAUUAUUAAAUAUCGCAGACGUGGAUGGGUAGAACCCGGGGGUGCUGCCUGAAGUCCUGGGCCGUAAAGAGCAACAUGGGUGUGUAACCAAGGGCUCAGGCCCGGGCCUGAGCCCGUCCUUACACAUCACAGUCCCGAGUCUGUCCUUCCCUGGGUCAUCUGCCCACCUUUCCUGCAAAGCCCACCAUGGCAAAGUCUGGGUCACAGUUCCUCUGGGAGCCCCUUGACACAAGCACCGGGCAGCACCAGCCCCG